AAGAGCAUCUAUUAGCGCAGCGAGAAUGGAUCCAGCUGCUGAUACAGUCACCAAACAUGGAAGAGCUACACAGGGCCAGGCUGCAAUUUCUCCUCCCAAGUCCAAUGGAGCCCAUUGCAGCAAGUGAGACAUUUGGAAUAUUGUUACCAUUGGAUGUGUGGAUUGGAUACCCUGUGGGGACAUGGGGACCAGAUUAGGAGGAGGGACACGUCUGCGGCUGACUGUGUACAGAUGUUAAACAUCCGUAGUUUGGAUUGAGACCUGGGUUCAAACUCUGCUUCCGCUCUCAGGCUUCCCGGUGCUCAUCCAGGAAGAACCCAUCUAUCACCUGCAUUUUUUGGCUGAC